rnacentral:rRNA from 2 species
AGUAAAUUGGUUAAGUUAGAAAGGGCGCACGGUGGAUGCCUUGGCACUAGGAGCCGAAGAAGGACGGGACUAACACCGAUAUGCUUUGGGGAGCUGUACGUAAGCGUUGAUCCAGAGAUUUCCGAAUGGGGGAACCCACUAUCUUUAGUCGGAUAGUAUCCUUACGUGAAUACAUAGCGUGAGGAAG